rnacentral:rRNA from 1 species
AUUGAACGCUGGCGGCCGGCCUAACACAUGCAAGUCGAACGAUUGGCGGACGGGUGAGUAAUGUCUGGAAACCUGCCUGAGGGAGGGGGAUAACUACUGGAAACGGUAGAUAAUCCCGCAUACCAUCAGAUGUGCCCAGAUGUGAUUACCUUGUUGGUGGGGUAACGGCUCACCAAGGCGACGAACCCUAGCUGGUCUGAGAGGAUGACCAGCCACACUGGAACUGAGACACUGUCCAGACGCCUACGGGAGGCAGCAGUGGGGAAUAUGGCACAAUGGGCGCAAGCCUGAUGCAGCCAUGCCGCGUGGAUGAAGAAGGCAUUCGGGGUGUAAAGUACUUUCAGCGGGGAGGCGUUACCAGCAGAAGAAGCACCGGCUAACUCCGUGCCAGCAGCCGCGGUAAUAC